rnacentral:misc_RNA from 1 species
UCCCCCGUGAGGGGGCAGUCUCGCCAGACACUUAUAACUGGCAACGAGGGUUGCGUUCGUUACCCCACUGAAGGGAACGAUUCAAACCACGAACUGACGACAGCCGUGCAUCACCUGUCCUACACCCUCGAAGGCUUCCUCGCUUUCACGAGGCGUGCAGUAGGAUUUCUAAUCUUGGUAAGGUUCUUCGUUUAGCGACGAAUUGAGCCACACGCUCCACCGCUUGUGCGAGCUCCCGUCUAUUCCUUUGAGUUUUAGCCUUGCGGCCGUACUACCCAGGCGGUCAACUUAACGCGUUAGCUUCGCCACUCAGAGGGUCGAUACUCCGAAUAGCCAGUUGACAUAGUUUAGGGCGUGGACUAC